rnacentral:rRNA from 1 species
UGGGGAAUAUUGCACAAUGGGCGCAAGCCUGAUGCAGCCAUGCCGCGUGUAUGAAGAAGGCCUUCGGGUUGUAAAGUACUUUCAGUCGGGAGGAAGGUGUCAAGGUUAAUAACCUUGGCAAUUGACGUUACCGACAGAAGAAGCACCGGCUAACUCCGUGCCAGCAGCCGCGGUAAUACGGAGGGUGCAAGCGUUAAUCGGAAUUACUGGGCGUAAAGCGCACGCAGGCGGUUGAUUGAGUCAGAUGUGAAAUCCCCGGGCUCAACCUGGGAACUGCAUUCGAAACUGGCAGGCUAGAGUCUAGUAGAGGGGGGUAGAAUUCCAGGUGUAGCGGUGAAAUGCGUAGAGAUCUGGAGGAAUACCGGUGGCGAAGGCGGCCCCCUGGACGAAGACUGACGCUCAGGUGCGAAAGCGUGGGGAGCAAACAGG